rnacentral:tRNA from 1 species
UCCCUCGUAGCCCAAUCGGUAGAGGCACCGGACCUAGAUUCCGGGAGGUGCGAGUUCGAAUCUCGCCGAGGGAACCA